AUUGAACGCUGGCGGCAGGCCUAACACAUGCAAGUCGAGCGAGCGGCGGACGGGUGAGCAAUGUAUGGGCAUCUGCCUGAUGGCGGGGGAUAACUACUGGAAACGGUAGCUAAUACCGCAUACCAUCAGCUGAGCCCAAAUGGUAUUAGGUAGUUGGGGGGGUAAAGGCUCACCAAGGCGACGAUCUCUAGCUGGUCUGAGAGGAUGACCAGCCACACUGGAACUGAGACACGGCCCAGACUCCUACGGGAGGCAGCAGUGGGGAAUAUUGGGCAAUGGGGGCAAGCCUGAUGCAGCCAUGCCGCGUGAAUGAAGAAGGCCUUCGGGUUGUAAAGUUCUUUCGGUAGCGAGGCGUUACCUACAGAAGAAGCACCGGCUAACUCCGUGCCAGCAGCCGCGGUAAUUC
rnacentral:rRNA from 1 species